rnacentral:lncRNA from 13 species
AUGGUGAAUGUGCGAUGGAGAGGACCAUUCGUGGUUUGCAAGUUGGACUACAUCCAGUCCCAGUCCCUGCUCCAGGCACCCACAGGGCAGGACCCACAGGGCAGGACCCACCUUCCUGGAAGCAGUUCCACAAACCUGGGGAACGCCCAGAUGACAAAGGAAGGCAUUGAUUGCAGCCUGGGAUGGUGGAAGCACUCAGGUAAAUCUGGCUUGGACUGCCUGGAGCCACCAUCAGAGAGGUUUGGGAAGCUGGGCUCAGCCACGAGGCUGGGUUGGAACUAAUGGGAAAAGGGUGGAUAGAGGAGAUUUCCCUUCUCAGUCAUGCCGUUUGGCUACCCUACACUCAAUCCAGUCUGGGUAGCUUUGCGAUCAGCUUGUUACUUGUAUCCAACCCACUUAGUGAGAAUAACCAGCGGGUUCAUAGGAUGCUUGCUGCUAUGCGGUUUAUGUGAGAAGACACUUUUACCAGUGGUUAAAGUCCUUCGAAUUCUUCACCUUUGACGGAGAAGACAAAGGACCUGUGGUUAUUAUGUGAUAACCACACAGUAUCAAAGGUUACUUAGCUAAGUGUGAAACUAACAGUAAGCGCCGUGAACAUCAAGGAAGCUCAGGAAACUUCCUCGAAGCCUUUUAAUGACGUUCGGCGCUGCAUAAAAAUCAGAUUCCUCUCAGCUCUUAUGCACAGGAUGCCCAGAAAUAAGACUCUGCGGAAUGGAUUUUCCUGGUACAUUCUAAGGUUCAUAGAAGAGGUUCUCAAUCAGUUACUGAAAGGGAAGAGAGCCUUUCACUGACAUCCAGGGUGGCCUAGGUGUACCCUGUUUCUUUCUGGAAACAAGUACAUAGGUAAACAGCUCAAUUGACAUCUCAUUAAUAAAUGUUUAUCGAGAAUUGUUAAGGCA